UUGCUUCUCUGAUGUUAGCGGCGGACGGGUGAGUAACACGUGGGUAACCUACCUAUAAGACUGGGAUAACUCCGGGAAACCGGGGCUAAUACCGGAUAAUAUUUUGAACCGCAUGGUUCAAUAGUGAAAGACGGUUUCGGCUGUCACUUAUAGAUGGACCCGCGCCGUAUUAGCUAGUUGGUAAGGUAACGGCUUACCAAGGCGACGAUACGUAGCCGACCUGAGAGGGUGAUCGGCCACACUGGAACUGAGACACGGUCCAGACUCCUACGGGAGGCAGCAGUAGGGAAUCUUCCGCAAUGGGCGAAAGCCUGACGGAGCAACGCCGCGUGAGUGAUGAAGGUCUUCGGAUCGUAAAACUCUGUUGUUAGGGAAGAACAAAUUUGUUAGUAACUGAACAAGUCUUGACGGUACCUAACCAGAAAGCCACGGCUAACUACGUGCCAGCAGCCGCGGUAAUACGUAGGUGGCAAGCGUUAUCCGGAAUUAUUGGGCGUAAAGCGCGCGUAGGCGGUUUCUUAAGUCUGAUGUGAAAGCCCACGGCUCAACCGUGGAGGGUCAUUGGAAACUGGGAAACUUGAGUGCAGAAGAGGAGAGUGGAAUUCCAUGUGUAGCGGUGAAAUGCGCAGAGAUAUGGAGGAACACCAGUGGCGAAGGCGGCUCUCUGGUCUGUAACUGACGCUGAUGUGCGAAAGCGUGGGGAUCAAACAGGAUUAGAUACCCUGGUAGUCCACGCCGUAAACGAUGAGU
rnacentral:rRNA from 2 species